rnacentral:miRNA from 1 species
UAGCACCACAGUCUCUGCGCCUUU